AAAAGUUGAAACCCGUGCAUCAGUUUAGGACCAUAAAUGUGCUUUGCAGUCUCUGCAUCAAUGUCUGACAGAGGUUAAGUGCUGGUUGGCAAAUAAUUUUCUUC